AAACGUGAACUUUUAGAGUGCUCAGACUAAGCCCUUUAUCCAGACCCUCUUGAAGGAAGAUCAGGACAUCUGCCACGCUAGGUGCAUCACAAGGGAUUCCCUUAUCCACCAUCCAGGAGCAGAACUUUCCCCAUAUUUUAUAAUAGGAGGCUGACGUAGAGCAUUUCCUGGAUCUUAGCAGAGUAUUAGAGACAGACUUUGUCAGGCCGAUUUCAAGAGGUUGUUUAUCCUCAAGAACCAUGCUGCUAACUGAAGUGACUGGGGUUCUAGAUGUACCGCUGGACCCUGGAUGAGCAAAUCCCCUCUCAAUGGAAGUGUUAUUGGGACUCUUUGGC